rnacentral:rRNA from 1 species
AUUGAACGCUGGCGGCAGGCUUAACACAUGCAAGUCGAGCGGGGUGAUGGUGCUUGCACUAUCACUUAGCGGCGGACGGGUGAGUAAUGCUUAGGAAUCUGCCUAUUAGUGGGGGACAACAUCUCGAAAGGGAUGCCAAUACCGCAUACGUCCUACGGGAGAAAGCAGGGGAUCACUUGUGACCUUGCGCUAAUAGAUGAGCCUAAGUCGGAUUAGCUAGUUGGUGGGGUAAGGGCCUACCAAGGCGACGAUCUGUAGCGGGUCUGAGAGGAUGAUCCGCCACACUGGGACUGAGACACGGCCCAGACUCCUACGGGAGGCAGCAGUGGGGAAUAUUGGACAAUGGGGGGAACCCUGAUCCAGCCAUGCCGCGUGUGUGAAGAAGGCCUUAUGGUUGUAAAGCACUUUAAGCGAGGAGGAGGCUCUUUUGGUUAAUACCCAAGAUAAGUGGACGUUACUCGCAGAAUAAGCACCGGCUAACUCUGUGCCAGCCGCCGCAGUAA